GGGGAUUUAGCUCAGCGGUAGAGCGCUUGCCUAGGAAGCGCAAGGCCCUGGGUUCGAUCCCCAGCUCCA
rnacentral:tRNA from 1 species